rnacentral:rRNA from 1 species
CCUACGGGGGGCAGCAGUGGGGAAUAUUGGACAAUGGGGGCAACCCUGAUCCAGCCAUGCCGCGUGUGUGAAGAAGGCCCUCGGGUUGUAAAGCACUUUCAGUGAGGAAGAACGCCUGGUGGUUAAUACCCAUCAGGAAAGACAUCACUCACAGAAGAAGCACCGGCUAACUCCGUGCCAGCAGCCGCGGUAAUACGGAGGGUGCGAGCGUUAAUCGGAAUUACUGGGCGUAAAGCGCGCGUAGGUGGCUUGAUAAGCCGGUUGUGAAAGCCCCGGGCUCAACCUGGGAACGGCAUCCGGAACUGUGAAGCUAGAGUGCAGGAGAGGAAGGUAGAAUUCCCGGUGUAGCGGUGAAAUGCGUAGAGAUCGGGAGGAAUACCAGUGGCGAAGGCGGCCUUCUGGACUGACACUGACGCUGAGGUGCGAAAGCGUGGGUAGCAAACAGGAUUAGAUACCCUGGUAGUC